GACGAACGCUGGCGGCGUGCCUAAUACAUGCAAGUAGAACGCUGAAGAGAGGAGCUUGCUCUUCUUGGAUGAGUUGCGAACGGGUGAGUAACGCGUAGGUAACCUGCCUUGUAGCGGGGGAUAACUAUUGGAAACGAUAGCUAAUACCGCAUAACAAUGGAUGACACAUGUCAUUUAUUUGAAAGGGGCAAUUGCUCCACUACAAGAUGGACCUGCGUUGUAUUAGCUAGUAGGUGAGGUAAUGGCUCACCUAGGCGACGAUACAGAGCCGACCUGAGAGGGUGAGCGGCCACACUGGGACUGAGACACGGCCCAGAGUCCCACGGGAGGCAGCAGUAGGGAAUCUUCGGCAAUGGGGGCAACCCUGACCGAGCAACGCCGCGUGAGUGAAGAAGGUUUUCGGGUCGUAGAGCACUGUUGUAAGUCAAGAACGGGUGUGAGAGUGGAAAGUUCACACUGUGACGGUAGCUGACCAGAAAGGGACGGCUAACUACGUG
rnacentral:rRNA from 1 species